rnacentral:rRNA from 1 species
GAUGAACGCUAGCGAUAGGCCUAACACAUGCAAGUCGAGGGGCAUCACAUGAAGUAGCAAUACGGAUGGUGGCGACCGGCGCACGGGUGAGUAACACGUAUGCAACCUGCCUUCAACAAGGGGAUAACCCGUUGAAAGACGGACUAAUACCCUAUAACACAGGGGUCCCGCAUGGGAAUAUUUGUUAAAGGACAACCGGUUGAAGAUGGGCAUGCGUUCCAUUAGCUAGUUGGCGGGGUAACGGCCCACCAAGGCAACGAUGGAUAGGGGAACUGAGAGGUUUAUCCCCCACACUGGUACUGAGACACGGACCAGACUCCUACGGGAGGCAGCAGUGAGGAAUAUUGGUCAAUGGACGCAAGUCUGAACCAGCCACGUCGCGUGAAGGAAGACGGCCCUACGGGUUGUAAACUUCUUUUAUACGGGAAUAAAGUGCCCCACGCGUGGGGUUUUGCAUGUACCGU